rnacentral:rRNA from 1 species
AGUGAACGCUGGCGGUAGGCCUAACACAUGCAAGUCGAACGGCAGCACAGUAAGAGCUUGCUCUUACGGGUGGCGAGUGGCGGACGGGUGAGGAAUACAUCGGAAUCUACUUUUUCGUGGGGGAUAACGUAGGGAAACUUACGCUAAUACCGCAUCCGACCUACGGGUGAAAGCAGGGGAUCUUCGGACCUUGCGCGAAUGAAUGAGCCGAUGUCGGAUUAGCUAGUUGGCGGGGUAAAGGCCCACCAAGGCGACGAUCCGUAGCCGGUCUGAGAGGAUGAUCAGCCACACUGGAACUGAGACACGGUCCAGACUCCUACGGGAGGCAGCAGUGGGGAAUAUUGGACAAUGGGCGCAAGCCUGAUCCAGCCAUACCGCGUGGGUGAAGAAGGCCUUCGGGUUGUAAAGCCCUUUUGUUGGGAAAGAAAAGCAGCAGGUUAAUACCCCGCUGUUCUGACGGUACCCAAAGAAUAAGCACCGGCUAACUUCGUG